CAGAGUAGGGAGACCGCGUCAAGUGCCGGCAGAUGGGAUGUCGCCGCCGGACGAAAGCGGAAGCUGCGAUGGUCUCCCGCGUCCGCUGU
rnacentral:ncRNA from 1 species